UGGGGAAUAUUGCACAAUGGGCGCAAGCCUGAUGCAGCCAUGCCGCGUGUAUGAAGAAGGCCUUCGGGUUGUAAAGUACUUUCAGCGAGGAGGAAGGCAUUAAGGUUAAUAACCUUGGUGAUUGACGUUACUCGCAGAAGAAGCACCGCUAACUCCGUGCCAGCAGCCGCGGUAAUACGGAGGGUGCAAGCGUUAAAUCGGAAUUACUGGGCGUAAAGCGCACGCAGGCGGUCUGUCAAGUCGGAUGUGAAAUCCCCGGGCUCAACCUGGGAACUGCAUUCGAAACUGGCAGGCUAGAGUCUUGUAGAGGGGUAG
rnacentral:rRNA from 1 species